AGCUUUGCCCAGUGGCUGUAUCAUAAUCAAUGAAGUUUAUCUGAAGCACAAUUAUUGCUAAUUAAAAUCUUUUCCCAAUAUCCCAGUGUGACAACUUGCAAUAUAGUCAGCAUUGGCAUUUUUUGACAGUCUCUAUGGAGA
ensembl:snRNA U4 U4 spliceosomal RNA